UACGUAGGGUGCGAGCGUUGUCCGGAAUUACUGGGCGUAAAGAGCUCGUAGGCGGUUUGUCGCGUUGUUCGUGAAAACUCACAACUCAAUUGUGGGCGUGCGGGCGAUACGGGCAGACUGGAGUACUGCAGGGGAGACUGGAAUUCCUGGUGUAGCGGUGGAAUGCGCAGAUAUCAGGAGGAACACCGGUGGCGAAGGCGGGUCUCUGGGCAGUAACUGACGCUGAGGAGUGAAAGCGUGGGGAGCGAACAGG
rnacentral:rRNA from 1 species